UUCUUCCUCACAGUAAAGCGCGCACGUUGAGCCGGCUUUGCCGCUGCUUCUCUCAGGCAGCGUUCUGAUCAUGUCUUCCAAGAAGAGCAGAAAGCGGCUCAACCGAAGCGGAGAGGGUGGUUCGCUCUCGCCCUCCGCUGCUCCCUGUGCUGCGGGGGCCUCGGCUUCUCCUGCUGGGCCAGGCAUCGCGGCGGUGGCCGGGACUCUGGCGGUGACCAACUUCUUAGAAAAGGAUGACAAAGUUCCUAAAACAUUCCAGAAUUCCCUCGUUCAACUUGGACUCAACACUAUGAAGUCUGCAAAUAUAUGUAUAGGUCGACCAGUGUUGCUUACCAGUUUGGAUGGAAAGCAAGAGGUCUAUACAGCCUGGCCUGUGUCAGGAUUUCCUGGAGGCAAGGUUGGCCUGAGUGAAAUGGCACAGAAGAACAUAGGUGUGAGGAUUGGUGAUGCCAUCCAGGUCCAGCCUCUUUUGGGUGCUGUGCUACAGGCUGAGGAAAUGGACGUGGCACUCAGUGACAAAAAUGUGGAUAUUAAUGAAGAGCAAUUGACUGGUUGUCUUCUGAGAAAACUAGAUGGCAAGAUUGUUUUACCAGGCAACUUUCUGUAUUGUACAUUCUAUGGACGACCGUGCAAGUUGCAAGUGUUGCAAGUGAAAGGGGUAGACGGCACGAUAUUGAGAAAGCCUCAGAGUGACUCUGACACUGAUACUCAGGGAAUGACCUCUAAAUGGUCCAGCACAGAAACCAGUACCCUUGAUAUAUCUGUACAACUAAGCCAGCUAGAUCUGGAAGAGCCCCAGGACCCAACAUCAAGCAGUACUCCUUGCAAACCAGUAGAUGACAGAAUGAUAAAGAAAGCUGGUGACAUUUUAUUGGAUGUUACCCAGAGUCCUGGGGAUGAUGGUGGACUUGGAUUAGAGGAAGCCACAGGCCUUACAUGCAGUUUUGAGUCUGCCAGAGAAGGAAACGAACAACUUGUCAAUAAAGAGAGGUUGCUGAAGUCAGCCAGCUUGGGAGCAAAGUGCAACACUGAUACUUUUUAUUUUAUUUCUUCAACAACAAGAGUCAGUUUUACAAAGAUUCGUACAAAUUCAAAAGAGCAAGACAACCAAUUCAAAGUAACUUACGACAUGAUAGGAGGCUUAAAUAGUCAGCUGAAGGCAAUUAGAGAAAUAAUUGAACUGCCCCUCAAACAGCCGGAACUUUUCAAGAGCUAUGGAAUUCCUCCCCCUAGGGGAGUGUUACUCUAUGGCCCGCCAGGUACUGGAAAGACAAUGAUUGCCAGGGCUGUUGCCAAUGAAGUCGGAGCCUAUGUUUCUAUAAUUAAUGGUCCUGAAAUUAUAAGCAAAUUCUAUGGGGAGACUGAAGCAAGAUUACGUCAGAUAUUUGCCGAAGCCACUCUGCGGCACCCGUCAAUUAUUUUUAUUGAUGAGCUGGAUGCACUUUGCCCUAAAAGAGAAGGGGCUCAGAAUGAAGUGGAAAAAAGAAUUGUCGCUUCACUUUUAACACUGAUGGAUGGUAUUGGCUCAGAAGGAAGUGAAGGACAGGUUUUGGUCCUUGGGGCCACAAAUCGCCCUCAUGCUUUGGAUGCUGCACUCCGAAGACCUGGACGAUUUGAUAAAGAGAUUGAAAUUGGAGUUCCUAAUGCUCAGGACCGGCUAGAUAUCCUCCAGAAGCUAGUUCGAAGGGUACCCCAUUUGCUCACUAAAGCUGAACUGCUACAGCUGGCAAAUAGUGCUCAUGGAUACGUUGGAGCAGACUUGAAAGCCUUGUGUAAUGAAGCAGGUCUCUAUGCCUUGCGGAGAGUUCUGAAGAAACAGCCUAACCUCCCUGACAGCAAGGUGGCUGGAUUAGUGAAGAUUACUCUGAAUGAUUUCUUGCAGGGAAUGAAUGACAUCAGGCCCAGUGCCAUGAGGGAGGUAGCAAUUGAUGUCCCAAAUGUAUCCUGGUCAGAUAUUGGAGGAGUGGAAAAUAUCAAACUGAAAUUGAAACAGGCUGUGGAAUGGCCCUUGAAACAUCCAGAGUCUUUCAUCCGAAUGGGUAUUCAGCCACCUAAAGGAGUUCUUCUGUAUGGGCCACCUGGAUGCUCUAAAACAAUGAUUGCAAAGGCUUUGGCCAACGAGAGUGGACUGAAUUUCCUAGCUAUAAAGGGGCCUGAAUUAAUGAAUAAAUAUGUUGGUGAAUCUGAAAGAGCAAUUAGAGAGAUCUUCCGAAAAGCAAGAGCAGUGGCUCCUUCCAUCAUUUUCUUUGAUGAACUUGAUGCCUUAGCAAUUGAAAGGGGCAGUUCUUCAGGUGCUGGGAAUGUAGCUGAUCGUGUUUUGGCUCAGCUCUUAACUGAAAUGGAUGGCAUUGAACAGUUAAAGGACGUGACCAUUUUGGCAGCCACUAACCGCCCAGAUAGGAUAGACAAGCUCUAGCUCUUCCAGGAGGAAGUGAUGAGAAGAGAUUUGUAGUCUGCCAUUUAUACCUGGGUUCUUACCUUAUCUUCAGCCACGUAUUACAGUCCACUUAUAUUGACUGUUCUGAUCAGAUAGGAACUAUCAGAACAGGAAAAUUUGAAGCUACAAGAGAACUUGGAAAUCAUCCAGCCCAACUUAUCAAAUUAUCCAUUUGAUAUGAGAUCCUGGGUGGUUAAAGAACUUGUUUGGAUAUAUAGAGUUAAUUGGUUACAUAGUUAACUCUUAAUUUUCAAAGAGUAUUCACAAUAAACUAGCCAAAUUUCCUCAUCUAGUCAAGAAGAGAAACUGAUUUUUUUCAUUCCUUGAACUUCAAAUUUCUAUAAAUUUAUGAACUGUAACUAUGACUAUGGACAUUACUCUUCUUAAUCAGCCUUGCCUAGCUCCAUUUGCUCAAGUCCAACAAAAUUAAUUUCAAGCUAUAAUAUAUAGAUGCUAUUUAUCUGGCUCCUUGCACUUUUUAUAAGAAGGAAUAUACUGUAAUAUUAAGAGCUCUAGAUCCAAACUUUCUGGGUUUGAGUCUAGCUCUGUCACUCAUUUAACUCUGUGACCUUGGACAAGUUGUUCUCCCCUCAGUAUGGGGAGACUAAAACUCUUCAUAAGCUUUCUAGGAUUAAAUGAGUUAAUACAUUGGAAGUGCAUAGAACAGUACACUGAAUGUAAUAUAAUAAUUCAUUAUUAACAUAAUAUUAAUAAUAAGCUGAGCAAUUAAUACAAGCUGAACAGAUUGGUUGGGAUGGGUAAAGAGGCAAUAGAUAUUAGUAGCUUUUUUCCUGUCCUCCUUAGCCUUUGCUUCUGUAUAGGUUUAACUCUGGAGCUAUGUUUCUUAAACUUUAGUAAAGCAUGGACACAUUUUAAAGAAAAUUAUUUUUCCACACUUCUAAGAAUAUACCUACAAAAUCCAGCUGAAGAAACAACAUUAAUUAAAUACUGUUGCUUCCCAUGAUUGCUUGGCUUCAACACAAUCAGAAAUACAAAUGUAAAUUUACAUACUGAAGUCAGGUUAGGAGUAGCCUAUUGUAAGGUGUUGGUUCAAUUGAUCUAGCAUUUUAAUUUUUUGAGAGUAUUAUUAAAAUGAAAACAAUUUUAAAUUUAUAAACUAUCUUGAGAAUACUUCAGCAGACCUUAGUAUGAGAACUGUUGCUUUAGAAGCAAAAAUAACCCACCUUAUGCACAGCAAAUUGUUUCUUUUAUAUGUGUCUAAGGCUCUGUUAUCCCUAUGUGUUUUGAUCAAUUGAAAUUACUGCAGAGUAAUACCAGGCCAAACUGCCAGUGGUGGUAGCAGCUGAAGCUGACUCUGGUCAGAUCACAAAUGAGCCAGAAUAAUGCCCAUUCUGGGGCUGUCUUUAGGUAGAAUGAUAAAAUUGGUUGUAACUUCUUUGUUUUCCUUCUGUCACCCCACUAAGUUCUCCUAUCCUUCCUCUCAUCUGUGCCUUUAUCUCUUACCCCAAAUAUAUGUUUCUCAUUAAGGUGAGAUGAAUUAGUGCUUAUUAAUGUGUUACUUUUCCCACAAUAUUUACAUUUUAAUAAAACAGAUCUAAGGCCCUGAAGGACCUUAAGAUUUAUUUGAAUCUCUUAAAGCGGGAUUUCCAACACUUUGACAAGUUCAAUAAGAAGAAAUAGAGGUACAUAUAUUUUUAAGUAAUUUUUUAUGUUGUAAAGCAAGAACAUGUUCUUUGUAGAAAAUUUUGAAAAUGCAAUAAAAUGAAACAAAACACAGAAAAAAUAAUAUGUAUUCUUAGCUUAUGAAGAUAACCAGUGAUAAUAUUUCUGACAUUUUUCUUAAUAGAUUUUGUUUUAGGAUUUUAAAAAAAUUAUUAAAAUAAGACCAACCAGUUUAUAUUCUGCCUUUUUCACUAAACAUUAUAAACAUAUAAUAUCUCAUGUUUUUAUAAACUAUUCUAAACAUUAUCUUUAAUGAUUGCAUACUAUGGAUUUACCAAGUUAGCGUGUGAAUAUUUCCCACGUUCUUCUUACAUAUUGUGAAUGAUGUUCCAGAAGUUUUGUACUGUAUUGCAUUCCAACCGACAGUAUAUAAGAGCCACUUUAUUGCCAUAUUUUAAUUGUUUGGUGAAAAUGAUAUCCUUAAAAGAGUUUUUCUAAUUUUUAUAUUUUUAUUACUUUUAAGAGAAAUUUGAUUUUCUCUUGUGUAAAUUUGCUCCUUAUGUCUUUGCUUGUUUAGCUGUUGAAAUCUUAAUAUCUUUCUUACUAAUUUGUUUAAAUUCUUUAUAUAGCUAGGUUAUUAAUCUUUUCUUGGAGAUAUUUUGCAGGUGGUGGUUUAUUUUGGAAUUUCAUUUGUAAUGUUCCCUAACAUGCAUAAGUCAUCUCUACAGAUUUUUCCUUUGCUUUUAAACUUAGAAAAUCUUGAGAGUAAGGAAUUUGGAGAUAGGAUGGGGCUUCUGUUGCAUUUCAAACUAUUAAGCUUUAUAUUUUUUAAAAAUCUAAACUCAUGUUCUCCUGUAAGCAGUUUAUGAACGAAGAAACAAAUAAUUUCAGAGGUCCAUGUGGAGUAUUCUUAAAUGUGAUAACAGAUAAAGGGAAAA